AUUGAACGCUAGCGGGAUGCCUUACACAUGCAAGUCGAACGGAGUGGCGAACGGGUGAGUAAUGUAUCGGAACGUGCCCAGUAGCGGGGGCUCACUACGCGAAAGCGUAGCUAAUACAGCAUACUAUUGGAGUGGCCUCUAUCGGAUUAGCUCGUUGGUUGGGGAACGGCUCACCAAGGCGACGAUCCGUAGCUGGUCUGAUAGGACGACCAGCCCGACUGGGACUGAGACACGGCCCAGACUCCUACGUGAGGCAGCAGUGGGGAAUUUUGGACAAUGGGGGAAACCCGGAUCCAGCCAUCCCGCGGGUGCGAUGAAGGCCUUCGGGUUGUAAAGCACUUUUGGCAGGAAAGCGGUGCCUGCAGAAUAAGCACCGGCUAACUACGUGCCAGCCGCCGCGGUAAUAC
rnacentral:rRNA from 1 species